AUAGCUGACGAGUCCCAAACAGGACGAAAUGCGCUUUAUCCUGGAU
rnacentral:hammerhead_ribozyme from 1 species